GUGAGGUGAAACACAAAACCCAGAACCUUGACAGCCCUUCCAUUCCUUGAUCUGAGGAAUAGGAGAAGAUCCGUCUAGCUGCAGGAUUCACGACUUGAGAAUGAGCAGAUUAAUCAUCAGCCCCUUCCGUUCAGAGUAGCCUUAGAGACGGGCACGUUUCUAGAAAGACCUGUUCCAAGCAUUCCGCAUAAAUGACUCGAGUGAGCUCCCCUAAUAGGAACUUGCGAAAUACAGCCUCGUAGCCGCCUGCUACACACAUGCAGUAACAGUACCAGUUUAGAGCGGAUUUGCUGCAAAUUGCUGAACAGUUUAAUCACAGUUUGUGAUACAGGACGGCGUGCAAAUGAUCUUCCUGGGAAAUCUCAUCCAGUUCAUCAGUGCAACUUAUUUUGUCAUUGGAAACCACAUGAUAUCGGAACCCGGGACAUUGCUCAGGUGCUGUGGACAGGAGGCCUAUAAUGUGGACCGGCAGUUGUGCUGUGGACGUCUGCGCAGUGAGAAGAUCCUUAAGAAGGAACACAAGGACAGCGUUUGCUGUGGAGACGUCCAGUACAACCCACAGACACAGCGCUGCUGCGGAGAUCCUCCUGAAAUAAAUGAACUCUCAGUUUCCUGUGAGACGGACUGUAAACAGGUUUUGACCCAAGAGCCCACAGAGGCCUAUAAUGUGGACCGGCAGUUGUGCUGUGGAAGUCUGCGCAAUGUGACGAUCCUUAUAAAGGAACAGAAGGGCAGCAUUUGCUGUGGAGACGUCCAGUACAACCCAGAGAAACAGGGCUGCUGUGGAGAUCCUCCUAAAAUAAAGGAACCCUCAGUUCCCUAUGAAACAGACUCAGAACAGGGUUUGACCCAAGAGCCCACAGUAAACAACAUGAUCCCGACACCCGGGACAUUGUCGAAGUGCUGUGGACUGGAGGCCUAUAAUGUGUACCGGCAGUUGUGCUGUGGAAGUCUGAGCAGUCAGAAGAUCCUUAUGAAGGAACACAAGGACAGCGUCUGCUGUGGAGACGUCCAGUACAACCCACAGAAACAGUGCUGUUGCGGGGAUCCUCCUAAAAUAAAUGAACUCUCAGUUUCCUAUGAGACCCAAGGGCCCACAGCAAACCACAUGGUGUCGGAACCCGGAACAUUGUCUAAGUACUGUGGACAGGAGGCCUAUAAUGAGGACCGGCAGUUGUGCUGUGGAAGUCUGCACAAUGCGAAGAUCCUUAUGAAGGAACAGAAGGAAAGCCUUUGCUGUGGAGACGUCCAGUACAACCCAGAGACACAGGGCUGCUGUGGAGAUCCUCCUGAAAUAAAAGACCUCUUAGAUUAACUGUGAGACGGACUGAAAACAGGGUUCGACCCGUCUCCUUCAACCCACUGCUCUUUUGAACAUAGCACCUUUUCAAUCAAGGAAAAAAAUAUUUGCUUUGACUAGCACUAUCUAACUGUUUGUAAUUGUGUCAAACUUGAAGAUCCUUUAUUUCCUUGAAAAAGAUUGCUUAUUUUGUCUUAUCUAAGUUGUUAAUUUUCUCUGCAAACGGGAAAUAUUUUUGAA
ensembl:lncRNA